rnacentral:rRNA from 1 species
UACGAAGGGGGCUAGCGUUGUUCGGAAUUACUGGGCGUAAAGCGCAUGUAGGCGGCCAUUCAAGUCGGGGGUGAAAUCCUGGAGCUCAACUCCAGAACUGCCUUCGAUACUGUCUGGCUCGAGUGUGGAAGAGGUUGGUGGAACUGCAAGUGUAGAGGUGAAAUUCGUAGAUAUUUGCAAGAACACCAGUGGCGAAGGCGGCCAAACUGGUCCAUUACUGACGCUGAGAUGCGAAAGCGUGGGGAGCAAACAGG